ensembl:rRNA 5S_rRNA 5S ribosomal RNA
GCUUACGGCCAUACCACCCUGAACACGCCCACCUCGUCUGAUCUCGGAAGCUAAGCAGGGUCGGGCCUGGUCAGUACUUGGAUGGGAGACCGCCUGGGAAUACCAGGUGCUGUAAGCU